rnacentral:rRNA from 1 species
GAAAUCCGGGCUAAUACCGCAUAUGCCCUACGGGGUAAAGUGGGGGACCUCUUCGGAGGCCUCAUGUUUCUGGAUGAGCCUGCGUCGGAUUAGCUUGUUGGUGUGGUAACUGCUCACUAAGGCGACGAUCCGUAGCUGGUCUGAGAGGAUGACCAGCCACACUGGGACUGAGACACGGCCCAGACUCCUACGGGAGGCAGCAGUAGGGAAUAUUGGACAAUGGGGGCAACCCUGAUCCAGCCAUGCCGCGUGUGUGAAGAAGGCCCUAGGGUUGUAAAGCACUUUCAGUGGGGAAGAAAAGCCUAAGGAUAAUACCUUUGGGUCUUGACGGUACCUACAGAAGAAGCACCGGCUAAUUCCGUGCCAGCAGCCGCGGUAAUACGGAAGGUGCAAGCGUUAAUCGGAAUUACUGGGCGUAAAGCGCGCGUANGCGGCUAGAUUAGUCGGGUGUGAAAGCCCCGGGCUCAACCUGGGAACUGCAUUCGAUACUGUCUGGCUAGAGUGUAAUA